UACGGAGGGUGCAAGCGUUGUCCGGAUUUAUUGGGUUUAAAGGGUGCGUAGGCGGCCCGUUAAGUCAGUGGUGAAAGCCUCCAGCUCAACUGGAGAACUGCCAUUGAUACUGACGGGCUUGAGCACAGACGAGGUUGGCGGAAUUGAUUGUGUAGCGGUGAAAUGCAUAGAUACAAUCAAGAACUCCGAUUGCGUAGGCAGCUAACUAGGCUGUAACUGACGCUGAGGCACGAAAGCGUGGGGAGCGAACAGG
rnacentral:rRNA from 1 species